AGAACGAACGCUGGCGGCAGGCUUAACACAUGCAAGUCGAGCGCCCCGCAAGGGGAGCGGCAGACGGGUGAGUAACGCGUGGGAACGUACCCCCCGGUUCGGAAUAACUCAGGGAAACUUGAGCUAAUACCGGAUACGGCUGGAAGGCGAAAGAUUCAUCGCCGGGGGAUCGGCCCGCGUCCGAUUAGCUAGUUGGUGUGGUAACGGCGCACCAAGGCGACGAUCGGUAGCUGGUCUGAGAGGAUGAUCAGCCACAUUGGGACUGAGACACGGCCCAAACUCCUACGGGAGGCAGCAGUGGGGAAUAUUGGACAAUGGGCGCAAGCCUGAUCCAGCCAUGCCGCGUGAGUGAUGAAGGCCUUAGGGUUGUAAAGCUCUUUCACCCACGACGAUAAUGACGGUAGUGGGAGAAGAAGCCCGGCUAACUUCGCGCCAGCAGCCGC
rnacentral:rRNA from 1 species